AUCGCUAGAGUUAUUGUUAAGAAAAUGGAAUAAACUUAGUAAAGAUAAAAUUUUUUUAUAAAGUUUGGAACAUCAAAUGCUAAAGCAAUUUUCUAACAAUUGAAAUGUAACUAUCGUUACUAAUAACUGACUUUUUUAAUUGCUAAAGUUUGAGUAGCAAAAGGAAUUAGAGACUCCUGUAGUUCAAACCUUCACCGAUGAAAUUUUUUUUUUAACGAAAAAUAGUUAACACAAAAUUUUCUGCCUGAACAGUACGGUCGCAAGGCUGAAAUUUAAAGAAUUAGAUGAGAAAAAAUAUAAUUCGUGGAUUAUGUUACUUAAUUCGAAACAACGCGCGAAUCUUACCAAUGUUUG
rnacentral:rRNA from 1 species